UCAUCAUCAUCGGCCCCCCAUCCCAUACCAAAGCCAUCCAGAAUUUCAACUUCACCAUUGACAGCCACACUCUAUCUCCCCCCCCUCACAUCUGCAACCUCGGACAUCUUCGACAGC